UACGAGGGGUGCAAGCGUUGCUCGGAAUUAUUGGGCGUAAAGGGUAGGUAGGUGGUCUCAUUUGUCUGGGGUGAAAGCCUUGAGCUUAACUCAAGAAGUGCCCCAGAAACGGUGAGACUCGAGUCUUGGAGAGGGUCGUGGAAUUCCCGGUGUAGCGGUGAAAUGCGUAGAGAUCCGGAAGAACACCAAAGGCGAAGGCACCAUCCUGGGGAGUCACUGACGCUCGGGUGCGAAAGCUAGGGGAGCGAACGGG
rnacentral:rRNA from 1 species